UACGUAGGGACCAAGCGUUGUUCGGAUUUACUGGGCGUAAAGGGCGCGUAGGCGGCAAUUCAAGUCAGCUGUGAAAUCUCCGAGCUUAACUCGGAACGGUCAGCUGAUACUGUUUUGCUAGAGUACAGAAGGGGCAAUCGGAAUUCUUGGUGUAGCGGUGAAAUGCGUAGAUAUCGUAAGGAAGACCAGUGGCGAAAGGCGGGUCUCUGGACAGUUCCUGACGCUGAGGGCAC
rnacentral:rRNA from 1 species